AACGAACGCUGGCGGCAGGCUUAACACAUGCAAGUCGAACGGAUCCUUCGGGAUUAGUGGCAGACGGGUGAGUAACGCGUGGGAACGUACCCUUUGCUACGGAAUAACUCAGGGAAACUUGAGCUAAUACCGUAUGUGCCCUACGGGGGAAAGAUUUAUCGGCAAAGGAUCGGCCCGCGUUGGAUUAGCUAGUUGGUGGGGUAAUGGCCUACCAAGGCGACGAUCCAUAGCUGGUCUGAGAGGAUGAUCAGCCACGCUGGGACUGAGACACGGCCCAGACUCCUACGGGAGGCAGCAGUGGGGAAUAUUGGACAAUGGGCGCAAGCCUGAUCCAGCCAUGCCGCGUGAGUGAUGAAGGUCUUAGGAUUGUAAAGCUCUUUCACCGGUGAAGAUAAUGACGGUAGCCGGAGAAGAAGCCCCGGCUAACUUCGUG
rnacentral:rRNA from 1 species